GCCCCUUCCGGCCCGCGGUUCUCGAGCUCGUGCAGCAAUACGCGCCCUUGUCCGCCCGGCACUCCUCGGCAUCGGCGAGGGAUCCCGUCGUCGGGGGUUCCUCGGCGCAAGUACGCGUAUAUUCUCAGUCAGGCCGCGACUAGCACGAUACGAGAGAGAUCUCCUCGGGAACGUGUAUAUAACACUUGACGACACGAGUGUUUCGACGAAUUAUAUAAAUAUACAUAUAUAUAUAUAUAUAUAUAUAUUUAUAUAUAUAUAUAUAUAUAUAUGUAUACAUACAUACAUACAUACAUACAUAUAUAUGUAUAUAUAUCGGUAGUUCUUCUCGGCUCUGUCGAAGAGUGUAACUCGAGAUCGAUGUGUCGGCUUACGCGUCGGCAACUUGCCCGUCAUCGCCGCGGCGUUCCCGCGCUUUUUUUACGCUCGUAUUCGUCGUGUGUUUAAAAACUUUACCGAGUUCUUCCCCCCUGCCCAGGAGAAUCCUCCAUUGUACCGGCCAUCCUUCUCUUUUUCCCCUCGACUUUUCUCACAGACCCACCUGUUUGUUCACCUCUGACUGAUUGUCUGUUCGCCUCCGCGCCACCCUUCCCACAUUUCUCUGUCGCCACUGCUCGCGUCGCGAUUCUCUCUCACGACUGAACGCGCCAAGUGAUCGUGUCGGGGGGAAAGUGCGCAUCGGCCUUUAGGAAAGAAUGAAAAACACGAACAAUGAAGGAAGAGUGAAAAGACGACGUCUCUUUAGUGCGCUCGAUGGCCGGUUUGCGAACGGCCGAGGGGGUCGGAGAGGGGAGGGGGAAGGGAAGAGGGCGCGCGAUUCCGCAGUCAUCAUCAGCUAGAUAUUUACACAUUUGCAAAACUUACACGCAAUCUUACACACGACGUAGUGAAAAGCGCGCUUUGGAAUAAAUAAAUUACUACAUUCUAGUGUAUCGUUAUUCGAAUAACCAAUCGCAAUCGUACGCCCGCGCCCGCCCGCGUAAACCCGUCUCGCGUCGUGCGAAAACGCCCGCGAGAUGCUGAGGAUCUCGAGCGGGCUUGUUGUAAUCAUAGGUCUGUUCCUUUCAGCCGCACCGCUGCACUAGUGCAAUGAAUUAGAGUGAGACAGAUCUGUUUUACCUCACUUUGACUUAUCGCACCAAUGCAGCAGUGCAGCUGAAAAGAACAGACAUAUCCCAUCGAUAUAUAUCUCGUGCCGGUGCAGAACGGCGCUUGCGCGAAACCCGAUCGACCGAUUCGGCUGGCGGUGUUAUUAAUUGCGAGAGGUGGCGCGCAUGCACACCUCGCAUCACAUUAGUCGCGCAGACCGCUCUUCCGGCGAGAAAGGUGCUCCGAUCUGCGAGCUCUGAGGCCGCGUUUUACCCUCGAAGAAGCGCCCGCGAGAUACACGGGAAAGCAAAAUACCUUAGAGGAGAGAAGAAGAGACAAAUGUUGUCUCUCCCGCGCGGACGAGGACAGAAGACCAGAAAAUUGGAUCGUCUCGGCGGCUAAUCGAACCGCGAGAACCCUACGUUGUGCCUUUUGAACAACAGCAAUCUCGAGCUCGAGCCAACUUCGGUUUCGCGAUAUCGCGCACUGUUUGCUAAAAGGAACGAUGAAUCGAUCGACACACACCGAGGGUCAGAGCCCGAAAACGCGUCGCGCCUCGUCGUCAAAGCUGCUUUGUUCUCCGACGCAAGAGGAGGGAGAGAGAAAGAGAGAGAGAGAGAGAAAGAGAGAGAGAAAGAGAGAGAGAAAGAGAGAGAGCGCGCGCGAAAAUGUGCUACUUCCUCCGCUCUCUGCUUUUUCAGCGCCGAUAUGUAUUUUUAACACGCCGCGCGCGCGGAUCAAUAAGCGCAAAAUUUAGACGGGUUUACGCACGGACUUCGCGCGGAAUCGCGUAACCCGCUGAUUCGCGUCGACUUUACCAUCUCGCGUCUGUUAAAGUCGCGCGCGUCUCGACGAUCGCGUCGACUCCCGGCGUUUCACUGUGACGGAAGGAAUGCGCCGCGGCCGUUCGUUUCGAAUUAAGAUCGACCGUCUCUUUCUCGCUUUCUUCAGGAGAGAAAGAGAGAAAGGGAGAACGAGAAAGAUCUGAUGUUCUCCAGCUGCGCGGGAGUCCACGUGACUCUCCCGUCGUCGUCGUCGUCGUCUCGAGCGUCUCGGGACGGAAUCCCGACUCGCUCGGACUACGACUGUCUUUCUCUGCAUCCGCAAGCACCUUGCACUCCUUCCGUCAUGCAAACGUCACCGCAGUCGUCGUCGUCGCGAUUCCGCCACGAAGCGACCGAUCAUAUAUUUUCGCCUUCGCGCAACCUACACGCAAAUCACCAAGCAACUCGAACGUGUGUUAAAACGAUUUGUACACGGAGUUUAUUAUAACGCGUGACGACGAUGACGACAUUACUAACUCUGCUAAUGGCCAUGUUUGUAAGAUACGUUAUACAUACAUGCAUACACACAUACACACAUAUAUAUAUAUAUUAUAUAUACAUAUAUAUAUACACACAUAUAAAUAUAUAUAUAUACAAUAAGGCGGAUGUUGUACGUGCGGGAUGAGGCAAACACAAAGAGCGCCCGUCUUUCUUCCUCUGACAUUUUAUUAGUCGCUCGAGCAAAAUUGCUAUUCUAAGAAUAAAUACAGAGACGCAGCGCUUUAAUGACACGUGUCCUGGAUGGAGCCAGUCAGUCUCACUCGUGAUCUUGAUCCUACCUUUGUGCGGAAGCGUUUCUUCACACGAGAGACAAUGCAAUUCUCUUGCUCUUCGCGUAACAGCGCGGAGACUUACUCGUUACAAAAUUGCAUACGCAUACGCGUCAAUCAUGUAUCGUCGUGCUUGUCGACUUAUCUCGCCCGCGCGCGAGAUCCAGAGACAGGAUUAGCUUACACGCCGAACGACAAAUCGAGCCGGUAAAUCGUCUCGAUCGAGAAUUGUUUCUGUCUGACAUAUGUCUCCGGGAGGGGCUCUCAUGCAAGUUUCGGGCGACGCGACUCUCGCACGUGUGCACGGAUGAGCAACUGUCGAAACGAAAAUCCGAUGAUCCUCGCGAAGAAGCCUCGUCUUGCCGACGACUUGCGCUCGGCAACGAUUGAAAGUAAAAAACAAACAAACGAACAAAUGAAAAAAAAAAAGAACACGGCGCUGCGGUUAUACGUCCGUUCUGUAGAAUCUGCAUUUUUCUUCGAGCGUAGUUAUCCUUCCCCCUGUGAAAUGUCGGUCGGAAGACAGUGUCACGACGCGCAGUCUUGGUAUCCGGCACGUACACGAUCGUAACAUUCCGUCGUCGAAUUAAGAGCGUUAUCGCAGUCACGCGGCGGUGAGCUUAAGUAGGCGGCGAGAUUACAAGAAAAAAAAAAAAUAAACAAAAGAGACGUGUGUGCGCGCGUGUGUGUGUUAAUGCGGAUCGCGCGAUCGUUAUUUUUCUACGUCUACAUCCCGCGAUUCGGAGGGUCGGCAGGGCGGAGGAAAGGGACGUGGAGAGAAAGAGAUAAACGAGUGAGAGAGUGUGACAGAGAGAAAGAGAGAGAGAGAGAGAGAGAGAACAGGACGUGCGCGGGUCGAGAGGGACAAUAACAACGACGACGACGAGGAAGCUGUUAUAGUCGGCUCUUUCAGAGGCGGUGACAGGAAGUCAAUGCGCGUGGGAGGGUGACGAUAAUGACGACGACGACGAUGAUGAUGAUGAUGACGGCGACAACGACGACGACGACCUCUGAAAUUCGGGCGGAACGGAGAGGGAGGGAGAACGCAUUCUCGCUGGUCGAGAACGCAAGCGAUGAGUCUGGUUAACUCAGCUCGGCGGCAAGAGCUAAAAAGAAGAAGAACGACGAGGACGACUGGCGACGGACGUGAUAACGAGAACAAUGACUGUGUUCAGCGGACGUAUCGAGGCUAGUUCAAGGCAAAGUUCGAGGUGAUUGAACGCCUGGUUGGCUAACAAACGGGCAACACGCGGAGGAAUUCACGCGACGCGAUGACAACCGUAAAAGCGCAAACAACAUCGGCUAAAGAGAAAGCAAAGAGAAAGCAAAGGGAAAGAGAGAGAAAGAAAGCGCGCAUUUUCGAUUUGAAUUCCUGGGCUGCAUUCCCAAACAUGCUUUUUGAGAGCAAUAUCUUACUGAUAAUCUAUGAUUCACGUUACUUAUAUCAAAAUGCUGGAUUUCCAGCAAAAUUGUUCUCAAAAAGGACGUCUUCGAAUGCAAGCUGAAACGUUUUCCUUGAGGAAAAUUCUAUUGAAAAUCCGCAAUAUAUGGAACGUGAAUUCUAAAUUAUCAGUAAAAUUGUCCUCAAAAGGAUUGUUUCGGAAUGCAAACUUGAAACGCAAUCCCAAAUUAGAGAGACACGUGACGUCUGUCUCUGAAAUUUUUCCCCUUCGCCGGUGACGUGCGCGUGCAAAAACGUCUCGUUUCAUACGGGACUCGCGUUGCUUUCGCUCCCUGCGCGUCGUCUCGGAUGCCGGUGCGAGAAAGUAUUUUUUAUAUCGCACACCCUCGUAAAAAUAGCUCCUCGACGGCUGUACAUAUGCACGCGGCUGCACAGCAGCUCGUUCGUUCGUUCGUUCGUUCGUUCGUUCGUUCGUUUACUCGAUCAUUCGGGGAGAAGGUCAUCGUUCUCCGUUCGCGUUCUUCGUUGGUGGCGUCAAUGUCGUUCGGCACCCUCGCCCCGGCGUUGUCCCUCGGGCUGCCGCGUCCCGAAAGCGCGACUGACGUUUAUGACGAAGAUGACAAAGACGCGGCGCGGCGCGGAAGGAGUCGAAGACGACCUGGGAUAUAUAAUCGUCGAUCGUUCUUAUAUAUCGAAAUACACACCACGUAUUAUCCGAUGGUCCGUCCGGCUCACUGUACCUCCCGUACCUCCGAGACCCCCUCCCCUCCCCGCUCCACCCCAUACUACUUAAGCGUUUGGCCUUCUCUCUCCCGUGUUGUAACGCGUGCAGAUAUAAUUCGGUAAUAAUCAAAUCAGCUUCCUGUACGCGCGCGAUCAAUAAUGUACACAUACACAUAUAUUUUCGAUACUCACGCUCGUCGGACGAUCAACAAGGCGAGUCGAGCGCGCAAUCGCUCGCGGGGGGGCGACGAAAAGCGACGGGGGCGGCGGGAAUUGCGAGCCGUCGCGUACGAAUUUGCAUCCCCGGCGUCGUCAUUUUUCGCAUUUCUACCCAACUCUACGCGCAUCUCUCGUGUCGAGACGAUUGCAAUCGGUGCAACGUCGGAAGCGUGUCGCGCGUGCAAGAGUCGUCCGCGAGCGAAGAACACGCGGAGCUUCGCUCGCUCGCUGGCUGUUUCUUAAUUGGCCGAGGCGCUUAUGUAACACCGCUCAUGUCUCGGGAUGUGAAUCUGUACGCCGAGACGGGCCUUAAACGAGACGGACAGUCGCGGGGCCGCCCGGUCGGUCGGCCCCCGGAAACGCCUCCUUGACGACUUGCACCGCGAGUGCAUCGUUCUUCCCGCGGGGGCGAGCACACAGAGUGACGCGCCGCUAAAGGCGAGCUUCGCGCGAGAUCAUCUCGAGAGAGUGAGUCAUCUGAAGUGGGGGAUGGAGAGAAAGAGAGGAAAAAAAAAUGAAUCAUAUCGCCACAUUCGACGGGACGGGACGGGCAGAGCGAUUCUCUAUUUUUGCGCACUUUGCUUGACCAUCUGCGUUGAAUUCAUCACGGCACGCGAGAAGGGAUGAUGAUAACGAUGACGAUGAUGAUUCACGUUCCACGGCUUUUUCUGGAACAUCAGGAAAUUUUCGUGGCACGAGUAAUUCGCAUAAUUACCCAGAUAGAUUUUCAUGAUUGUCACGCAUGAAGAUGAUUAUGAGACAAUUGACGAUGGAAACUUUGCGAUUCUUUUAAUUACUUUCGUGACGUAAUUACCAUAUUAAAUUAAUUAUUUUGAAUUGAUUAUUUUGGAUUUAUUUUGCAGACAAGCGAAGUAUGCUAUACUGAAUUAACCAUUAAAUUAACAUUGUAUAAUUAUUAAUUAAUAAUUGUAAAUUUUUUAUUGUAUCACACUAACCAACUAGCUGGCCAUACUAGCUGUUUGUUGAGUUUGCAAUUUUUUGAACAGUUUAUCUCCUAAACGACUGCGAGAAACUAAUAUUGAGAUUUAUAUUCAUGAUAUAUUCGUUCUAAGUUUCAAAUUGAUGUAUCAUUCAUUGGAAUACUCAAAAUAUUUGGAAAAGUAACGUGAAAUGUCUCUAUGCGCGCUUGGUCGCAGUCUUUAUGUAACGCCUGUCUAUCUGGGUAGCUUGCAAUUAGGCUGUGACGACGUGGUCGUGUGAGAUCGAGCAGCGGAGGUUCCGAACGCGUCUCAAUGAAUUCUCGGGGAAGACGCGUCUGGGAUCGCGUCUCAGAAUACUCGGUAGUUAGAGCGGGAAAUCGCAGACGUUCGCUUCGGUGUUCGCUCAUUUUCGAGAUGAUCUCCGUGUGUGUGACACCGAGUGUCCGUCUCGGGGCGAAGUCCCGACGAUGCGUCGACUCGUCGCCGGAUGGGAAUGUUUCGGCGCCCCAUUCGCGCUCAACCACGACUUCCCUCAGCAAUUGGAUCGCGACAUGUUCAUCGGCGCCGAUUAACAUUCCGUCCGUCCCGAGGCGUUACGCGUCGUCUCGCGAGGAUUGUCCGAGGAGCACUUGGUGAAAUCGCGGGAGGGAACUGUUUUUCUCACACACGGGAACGGGAUACGCGUUCAUACGCGGUCGACAUGUUGCAACGAUGAGGGUGGUUACGAGGAGGAGGACGACGACGACGACGACGACGACGACGACGACUAGGACAAUGACGAGGACAAUGUCGCGAAGGGGGAGGGGGAUGGAAGAGUGUGCGUGGUGUGCUUCGUUGAUUUUCAUUAGUUUUUUCCGAAAUGUACAUUAAAAUUAUCAGCUUUUUGCGCGACGACGGCUGUAAGAUAUAUAACAAGAAAAAAAAAAUAAUAGGGCUUUCCUUCGUUAAGCGAGGUAAGACGAGAUUUAACGUACUUUCUCUGAGGACGAUACUGCCGUUAUGCAUUAUAUAAAAAGAAAACUAAGUUAAAUAAUCGUAAAUGCACGAAAAUUUUCUUAAACGGAUAGCAACCAAAAAAAAAAAGGCUUUGUAGUGUCUCGAUACUUUCGAAUCAUUAAUCCUACGUCGUCAGAUAAUAAAUAAUGAUAUUAACGAAAUAAAAAAAAAAUGAAGAUAAAUAUGAAACAAAAAUCCUAGAGCUGGGCUAAAGCAUUGUAAAGUGUCAAGCUACCGGAGCCUGUCGGCCAGUAAAAAUGAACAAGCAACUGCCAUGGAAUGAAGCUAGGUAGACAACAUGUUAAAAAUCCAAUUUUAAUGAACUAGCAGCGAAACAUUAAAAAAAAAAUAAUAAUAAAACGUGCGAAGGAUCGUCCAUUAAAACAAAAAAAAUUCUGCGUACGUACGUGCGUGUGUGUGUGCGUGCGUGCGUGUGCGCGUGCGUGUGUGUGAGAGAGAGAGUGUGGUGUGUGUAUGUAUGUGUGUGUGUGCGUGAGCUCGCGCGCGCUCGCGCGUGUUCGUGCGGACACGCGGAUCGGGUGCUUGUGACACGUGCGUGUCCACACACACACGCGUGUGUGUGGGCUGUGUGUGUGUGGUGGAUGCGCUCGCGCGCAGGCCGAGACACGCGAGGAAACAUGAGGAAACACAGAGAGAAGCUCCUCCGUUGAAUAUGAGAAAAAUUCAUUACUACCUAACAAAACUAAAAUAACAAGAGAAACUAUGAGUUAUUUGCACAAUAUUAUAAAUAAUUACUAUAUAUGUUUACUACGAUUAUUAAAUUAUAAAGAGCAAAUAAUAAGAGAAUAAAAAAACUGUUGUUAAAUAAUUAAUACAAGAAAAAAUGAGAGAGACGAAGGAGAUGAGGGAGAAAGAGAGGAAAAAAGUAAUAACACGAUUUACGCUAACGAUCGAUAUUCGGAUCAAAACAGCAAGUGACGAAGACGAGAACGACAGGAGAGGAUACGAUGAAGAUGACGAAGAAGAAGAAAACGAUGAAGAAGAGCAAAGUAAAAGGAGGAGAAUACGAUUCGUUUGUUAUCGAUUAGUUAACGAUCCUUACAUUACAUUAUUGUAAUUAUAUAAAGUAAACGAUUAUUAUCAUAAUAGUUACAAUUAACAAGUUGUUACCGCUUUGUUAUACAUAAUAUAAUUAAUAAUAAGAUUAAAAAGUAAGCGAAUGCAUCGUUGAUUCGUCCUUUACUUAUGUAGAUACUAAAUACGAUCGACUAAUAUUGUUUUCAAUGUCUUCACCGUAUCUCUUCGUUUGCUACCCGAAUUUCAUUUCGUUGUCGAAGAUUCGGUAUUGUCGGCUUACCUCGCCCGGCCACAAUAUACACACGUUUUACAGAGAUAUUUUCAAUAAACGAAAAAGCUUAACACUCA